ensembl:lncRNA
GAACAGUGCACUAAAGCCUCCGCCUUGGCCAUUCUGCCUCGGAGGAGGAGCCGAGAGUGAGACUGGGUGGUUUACAGACAUGUUCCUGCCAAAUGCCUUGGAAGAGACCUCAGAGGAUGCCAGUCCGGGUUUAGGAUGCAUUUGCUGAUUAUUACUUAAGUGUGAAUCAUGGCAAUACAGUGAAAGACGGUGAUUUACUGCUUUUGAGGGCAUGCAUGGAUAUGAUUAACGGAUGGAAGUGCAGGACUCCAAGAUUUACUUCUUUCCCUUUCCAGCAGAGUUACCUGAGAGGAGUAAAAUCUGCUGGUGGAGUCACUCCAUUAUUCUUAUCUGUGGAGAUCUAGAUCUUGAUUUGAAAGUUUCUGAGAAAAUCUUCAGCUCAGACUUGAGGUCAACUUUACCAACUGAAGUGACUGCAUCCUGCCUGCUUUCAGCUCCAGUGGAAAAUGCAUUAAUCCCAGAGUCUCCGUGAGGUUUCCUGUUUGAUGACAUAAUCAGAAAAUCCUCCUCACAUUGCCCUUGGGGUUGCUGUCUGGAUGUUAUGUUGUCUUGGUGGGCGUAACUCAGCCAUCAAAAAAAUCAGCACAGGCCAUAAACUCAGGACCUGAAAUGCAUUAAUAUGAUGUUAAAUGAAAUAACGCUGUGGGUAUGUCUGCAGCACUGGUAGGGAAUUUCAUUAAACUGCAGAUUCUCCCUGGCAUCAGAUGCAUUGGCUGGUGACUCUGGUACAUAUGGCUGGAGCUGUUGCAAUGCCACUAGCAGGAGGUAUUUGAACUGCUCCAGUGUAAGCUGUUAGACUACAUCUUGUGGAAAAAUACCACACACCCUUGACUACCAGAGUUUGGUAGUGUUGAUUUAAGUAGUUCUUCCCUUCCAUUCCCCUCUGGGGCAGCCUGUUUACCUAAUACGUUUCGCCUUUGGUGUUGAUCACAGGAAGCUGCGAAAAAGAAAACUAGUGGGAAGAGUCAGAAAUAGAAGAUGAGGAUACACUUUAAAAUGAGGAAAGCAAAAGAUGGCAUCUGACAUGUAAAGUGGGUUUUAAAAGUUCUGAAGAUAAGAUAUUGUGAGGCAGAAACUUCAGUAUCUGUGAAUAUAGUUAGAAAGAAGAAACCUUGAUAUAAAAGUGGAACCAAGAAUAGGAUAUUUAGAUAUCAAAGGGCAUGUACAGUUUUACAAGUUUAGAAGAUAUUGGCAUAGGAAGUUGAGCAUAUGCUUAAAUAUGGAUUUCCUUUGCUAUUUGGAGAAUUUAUAUUUUUUAUUGUUUUGGUAGGCUGCCAUAACCCUCCAUUUGGUUGUCUUGGAUGGAAUACCUCUUGCCUUGGAUCUUGGAAAUCCAAGCUUGAUUGGCACCUGGUCAGGAUGAGAACAAGGAAUGGGCCUCUUAGGAUGUUUCACAAGUUCUAGAAGCUGCCUCCAUGAUCCUCCCUCCUGUUAUUGUACCAGACUCUUUCUUGCAUGUGUCUAGCUGUGGGUGGAGAGAGGUGGUCGGGGAGUUGGUGGGAGAAGCAGGCAAGAUACUGCUUGAUAGAGCUUCACUGGAGAGAAGUUAAAGAGGAAGGAGAGGUCUAAGCUCCAGCCAGUUGAAAGCCUGGGGCGACGUCACUAUUCCUACUUCCUUAUGUCGGAAAUGUCCUUGGGUUUUCCAUAUUGUAUUCCAAGCAGCAGGACACCCUUGACAGAUGCUUCUCCUGUGUUUGGGGAAUCUGGACUAAUAUAACACUAGGAAAGAGAAAAUUGUAUUUCUUUAUCACUACUGUGAAUAUUGUUGUUUUUUAAAAUUUACAACUGACUACUGAAUAAACUCUAAAACUUGGAAUUCUGGA